rnacentral:lncRNA from 1 species
GCUAUCAUCUCGGAGGUCUAAGUCCUCAGGAAUAGUUUGCAGUGCUAAUCUUGCAAACAAAAUAUCAAUCUCUAUUCCAUCAAAACAUAGUUUAAUAACUGGGACAAAAGCUUCUUCAACAGCCCUCAAAUCUUUCACUUCUUCUUGCUGUUUCAGUUUUUCAUAAAAUGAUGUGAAAAAAUCACUUCUUUCAACAUGUCUUGGUGCAACACACAGGGCAUCGAUAUCAGCACCUGUAAGUGUUCAUUGAUGCAAGUAGG